AGAAAGAGAGAGAGAGAGGUUGUAAUAAAGUUCCCUUUAGAAUGUGAACAUGACCAUGAGGGAGACCAGAGGAGUAAAGGUUAGCCUCAAAGCGAGAUCAGAGGUCAAACUUGAGCAGAUAAACCGUUUUUGUUUUCCCUCUUAUUUUGUGGGUUUUGUACUUUAUCAGCUGUCAUCUAAUCAGCCCCCUUGCCACCUGUGAGCAUCAGAGAACUCAUUUUCUAUGCUGCCUUCUGCUAUCAACCAUGUGAUUGAUCUACCUAACUUCCAUGGCUUUUGUAUUACAUGGCUAGGAGUCAUCUGCAUGGAGCUUGAAGGCCUCGAUGUCUCUUUUGCGGUAUUUCCUGUGUAUGUGACCUUUGUAAUAACUAGUAGUGGAGCUACUCCGUGGAAACUAGUUUAUUUGUAUUUGGUACUUGUUAUUUGUUCUCUUGGGUAAUCUUUUGCAUAAUGGAGGAUGUCUUCCUGGCCUCUUGUUUUGCAUUGAGAUCUUUUGCUGUGCAUCUGCGGUGGAUGGGCUCACAGCAAAUUAACGAAAUCUAACAAAUAUACUGUUACAUUAUCUAUCAAAAGUCGGCAAGAUUCUAAUGAGUAACCAAAGCAUAGGGACAUGGAACUACUUCAACAAGGCGGUUGGUUAUGUACAGCAUGAGGACAAGGGCAACUUUGGCUUUUGCUUGCUCAUUUCAUGAAGCUCAGUGGUCGGUGGCAUGAUGUGGGCAUCAAAGUUCAGUUUUUCGGAGGGACAUUGUUGGAUUAGGGAUCCAGCUAAGUUGGUGAGCUUCAUAUCUGCGUUGGCAUGCUGUGUCUUCAUUCAUCAAGCUCCAGUUGUUUGGACCACCUUCUCGCUGGCUUCACUCUAUCAUGCCGUAUUCCCAAAAUGCAAGCUCGGAGAGAGUAUUUUUUUUUUUUUUUAUGAGAGAGAGAAAAGUUGAUAGCGAUUCUGAACCAAUCAGAAAAGGAUCCUGGUUUGGGAAGAAAUUUGCAAAAUUAUGGAUGGGACGCAUGGAUAAUUCUAUGGUUUCGGCGCACGCACACAGAGAGAGAGACUUUAUUUGCUAAUGGAGGCAGGAGGAGCCAAACAGAAGUUAGGCGAAGUGACCGGAGAAGAUGAUCGAGCGUUGUAGGCAGCAACAGGAAGUCUUGAUGUCCACCAUAUCACAAGAGGUGCCCAAUAACUGUAGGUUAAAAAUAAUGUCUUGUUGACAACUUUGUUUUUAUCCUAUAGUAUAAGUAUAUUUAUCCAAGCAUUCAAUUCUAGUCUCUACUAGAAUUUUAUUGGAGAGUGUUAAAUCCUAUACAAUUGACAUAAAUCCUAUUGUAUCCAAACAGGGCAUGAGCGUAUUCUUUUGCUUA